CCGGUCCUAAACGGAAGCGGUAAUGUGCUUAAUGUAACGUAUAACUACUAAUUGUAGUUUGAGUGAAAGGUUUGACGAGUUUUUAGCUGUAUCUAGUUUAUUGUUGUUAAAUUGAGUUGUAGGUGAAAACGCUUAUAUGUGUAAGAGGGACGAGAAGACCCCGUGAAGUUUUAGUUUUGGCUGGGGCAGCAGAAAGGCAAGAUUAGACCAGAUAUGUUUUGAUGUGAUUAACAGAAGGAGUUACUCCGGGGAUAACAGCGUAAGUCUUGAUAGGUCUUAUAGAUAGACAAGUUUGCGACCUCGAUGUUGGCUCCGGAUAUCCGUAGCCUUGAGCAGGGCUAAAUGGUUGGUUUG
rnacentral:rRNA from 2 species